GAUAAAGACAGAGUUUUAAACAUGUGCAAAGGUUUUGAGGAACAAGAAAGAAGAAGAGACGACGGAGGAUGCCGGAGUAUCAGAGCUCCGGUAAGCUGCGAUCUCUGCGGUGACAACGCAGCCGUGUAUUGUGAAGCAGACACUGCUUUCCUCUGUAGGAAAUGCGAUCGAUGGGUCCACUUUGCGAAUUUUCUUGCUCGGAGACAUCUCCGGCGCGUGAUCUGCACAACUUGCCGGAGAUUAACUCAUCGUUUUCUUGUCGGAGAUAAUUUCAGUGUCGUCUUACCAGAGUCCAAAGAUAAAGAUACGAAUUGAAGAAGAUUGUAGAGUCAUUACAAAGUCACCUUUGUCUUUCUAUGUUCUAAUUUUUAGUUUCCUUCUCGUAGUUUGUUAGUUUUUGUGUUUUAUUUCCUUUCUAAAGAAGUAAAGAUUGAAGUUAAAAUUAAAGAAAGAGAAGACUCGCCAGUGACCAAGAUGGAUAGUAACCACAGCUUUGUUUAUCUAUUAGUAAAAUAAGCUUUUAGACUCCCCAAACAAUAAGAGCACCUUCGUUGGAGGCUUUUAGAAAGGGUUCUAAAAAAAAACCAAUAAAAAUAAAUGAGAAAGAAAAUAAAACCAAAGAACUGGUGCCAAACUAAGGGGUUUUGGAACCACUAGACACCCCAUACGUGCUCUGUUCUUAUUGGCCGCCUCUCUCUCUUCAUGGUUUUUUUUGUGUCUGAGAAAUCUAGUGUUGUUGCUCUCGUUCUCCAAAUCCGUUCAUUGAAAUCACUUUGUAGGUUCGAAUUAUUUGAGUUUUUGUAUUGAUUUGAAGCUUGUGAAUCUCGUUGGAAGUAAAAUUUGGUUUUGCUGAUGAGAUUAGCUUUAAUGAUGAAAUUUGAGAUUAGCUUUGACUUUGUAUUUGUUUGUAUAGAGAUAGCUUCUCACAUGAAAGUAAUUGGGCGUGAUUGAGUUUCCAGAUGGAUUACCUCCUACUACGUCGACAAGGAAAAAGGAGAAUCUUUCAGAGAUGGAGCAGCAACUGAAGAAGGCAGAAGCUGCUCAAAGGCGAAAAGUUCAGAUUCUGAAGGCUGCAAGAGAGUCCGAGGCAGAGGCCAUUAGAAAAAUUCUAGGACAGGAUUCGAGCAGGAAGAAGCGUGAAGACAAAAUUAAAAACGACUUGAUGAAUUGGCUCAGCGUUGAUGAAUUGAUAACAGGAGAAAACUGCACAUGAGGAAAGGGCCUCAACAAGCUACAUCAAGACAAUAAUGGGUCCUAAUGGAACAACUGUUUCAUUUCCCAUUGACAAAGUGCCUAGCCUGUUUGAUCCCAAACCAUCUGGUCUCAAAUGUUACAAGGCAGUUCAAAGGCAGUUCAGGAGCAGCAUCAGUAGCAGACUGCACCGGUUUAGAUAUUGAUUUGAUUUUUUCUGAUACAAAAGGUCAAGAACUCAGCUCUCUGAGUUUAUAGAGAUUACAGGACAUGUUUUAGUUUUUCUUUUGCUUUGCUUCAGACUUGUCUGAUUGGAUAUAGUUCAUUUUUCAUAUGUGAGAUUAGCUCAUGUUUAUUUGAAUUUUUAU